rnacentral:rRNA from 1 species
UACAGAGGGUGCGAGCGUUAAUCGGAAUUACUGGGCGUAAAGCGUGCGUAGUCGGUUAUCUAAGUCGGGUGUGAAAUCCCCGGGCUCAACCUGGGAAUUGCGAUGGAGACUGCAAGGCUUGAAUCUGGCAGAGGGGGGUAGAAUUCCACGUGUAGCAGUGAAAUGCGUAGAGAUGAUGGAGGAACACCGAUGGCGAAGGCAGCCCCCUGGGUCAAGACUGACGCUCAUGCACGAAAGCGUGGGGAGCAAACAGG